rnacentral:snRNA from 1 species
AGGUGUGAAGGAGAUCUGGCUGUGACAUCUGUCACCCCUCUCAUGGCCAGGGUUGAUUUGGAUGAUCAGGCUGGGUAGGCAGGUACUGUCUUUCUCCCUCACUGCUCUAUGAGUAUCUCUUCUGAAGCUUCACGCUGGGGAGAGAGGACCAUGUUUGGGCCAAGGGUAUAGAGUACUUGCUAGACCCUCCAAACAAGCUCACAAGGACCACAGUGUGAAUCCGUUGUCUUUGGUUAUGAAACCACAGCCAACACAAUAUCUGAGAGUGCUGACUGU